GAUGAACGCUGGCGAGAUGCCUUACACAUGCAAGUCGUACGGGGAUUUUAAUUCAAGUGCGGACGGGUGAGUAACACGUAAGAAUUUGCCUUUAGGAGGGGGGACAACAACUGGAAACGGUUGCUAAUACCCCAUAUGCUUUCGAGUGAAAUGGAUUUUCCGCCUAAAGAGAAGCUCGCGGCCUAUCAGCUUGUUGGUGAGGUAAAAGCUCACCAAGGCGACGACGGGUAGCCGGCCUGAGAGGGUGACCGGCCACACUGGAACUGAGAUACGGUCCAGACUCCUACGGGAGGCAGCAGUGGGGAAUAUUGCACAAUGGGCGCAAGCCUGAUGCAGCAACGCCGCGUGAGGGAUGAAGGCCUUCGGGUUAGUAAACCUUCUUUUAUCAGGGAAGAAGCGAAAGUGACGGUACCUGAAGAAAAGCACCGGCUAACUACGUG
rnacentral:rRNA from 1 species